GUGCAAGAGAUGGUGAUCCAGGU
rnacentral:piRNA from 1 species